rnacentral:snRNA from 1 species
GUGCUCCCUUCAGCAGCAGAUAUACUGAAACUGGAAUGAUACAGAGCAGAUUAGCAUGGCUCCUGCGCAAGGAUGACAUGCAAAUUCAUGAAGCGUACCAUAUUUAA